rnacentral:rRNA from 1 species
AUGCAUAGAAAAAAAAGUCUACAACGGAUAACUAAAACAUUGGUUGUUAUUAACUGUGAUCACCAACCUCACAAUGAUGCUAUGAAUUCUCAUCCGACGGAAACUGGCUUUGGACUUCUUCCAGCCUGCCACUUCAUCCUGUACUACCUAUUCAAAAUAGCAAGAGUGUAUAGUAAGGAACUGGACAAGAACCAUCCCUUGGAAGCUCCUGUUCUACCCCAGCAAGAAGCCAAGAACAGACACAUCCUCUGCGACCGUAUGUAG